rnacentral:misc_RNA from 1 species
GAAAUGCGAUAAGUAAUGUGAAUUGCAGAAUUCAGUGAAUCAUCGAAUCUUUGAACGCACCUUGCGCUCCUUGGUAUUCCUUGGAGCAUGCCUGUUUGAGUAUCAUGAAAUCUUCAAAGUAAAUCUUUUGUUAACUCAAUUGGUUUCUACUUUGGUAUUGGAGGUCUUUGCAGCUUCACACCUGCUCCUCUUUGUUCAUUAGCUGGAUCUCAGUGUUAUGCUUGGUUCCACUCGGCGUGAUAAGUUAUCUAUCGCUGAGGACACUGUAAAAGGUGGCCAAGGUAAAUGCAGAUGAACCGCUUCUAAUAGUCCAUUGACUUGGACAAUACUUUUAUGAACUGAUCUCAAAUCAGGUAGGACUACCCGCUGAACUUAAGC